UACAGAGGGUGCAAGCGUUAAUCGGAAUUACUGGGCGUAAAGCGCACGUAGGCGGCUUGGUAUGUCGGGUGUGAAAUCCCCGGGCUCAACCUGGGAACUGCAUCCGAAACUGCCUUGCUAGAGUAUGGGAGAGGGAAGUGGAAUUUCCGGUGUAGCGGUGAAAUGCGUAGAUAUCGGAAGGAACGCCGGUGGCGAAAGCGACGUGCUGGACCUCUACUGACGCUGAGGCGCGAAAGCCAGGGGAGCAAACGGG
rnacentral:rRNA from 1 species